rnacentral:rRNA from 1 species
AUACGUAGGGGGCUAGCGUUAUCCGGAUUUACUGGGCGUAAAGGGUGCGUAGGCGGUUUCUUAAGUCAGGAGUGAAAGGCUACGGCUCAACCGUAGUAAGCUCUUGAAACUGGGAAACUUGAGUGCAGGAGAGGAAAGUGGAAUUCCUAGUGUAGCGGUGAAAUGCGUAGAUAUUGGGAGGAACACCAGUGGCGAGGGCGACUUUCUGGACGAUAACUGACGCUGAGGCGCGAAAGCGUGGGGAGC